rfam:Brassica napus, WGS project CCCW01000000 data, contig: 4020
GCGCAUCUGGUGUAGUGGUAUCAUAGUACCCUCCCACGGUACUGACUUGGGUUCCAUUCCAUGGAUGCACA